rnacentral:rRNA from 1 species
UACGAAGGGGGCUAGCGUUGUUCGGAUUUACUGGGCGUAAAGCGCACGUAGGCGGAUUGUUAAAGUCGGGGGUGAAAUCCUGGAGCUCAACUCCAGAACUGCUUUCGAUACUGGCAAUCUCGAGUCCGGAAGAGGUAAGUGGAACUCCUAGUGUAGAGGUGGAAUUCGUAGAUAUUCGCAAGAACACCAGUGGCGAAGGCGGCUCACUGGCCCGGUACUGACGCUGAGGUGCGAAAGCGUGGGGAGCAA